rnacentral:rRNA from 1 species
UAGGAAUCUUCCACAAUGGGCGCAAGCCUGAUGGAGCAACACCGCGUGAGUGAAGAAGGGUUUCGGCUCGUAAAGCUCUGUUGUUAAAGAAGAACACGUAUGAGAGUAACUGUUCAUACGUUGACGGUAUUUAACCAGAAAGUCACGGCUAACUACGUGUCAG